CGCGUAGGCGGUUCGAUAAGUCCCGUGUGAAAUCCCUCGGCUCAACUGAGGAAUGGCACGGGAAACUGACGGGCUUGAGUUCGGGAGAGGGAAGCGGAAUUCCGGGUGUAGCGGUGAAAUGCGUAGAUAUCCGGAGGAACACCGGUGGCGAAGGCGGCUUCCUGGACCGACACUGACGCUGAGGCGCGAAAGCUAGGGGAGCAAAACGG
rnacentral:rRNA from 1 species